rnacentral:rRNA from 1 species
CACGUAGGAGGCGAGCGUUGUCCGGAAUCAUUGGGCGUAAAGGGCUUGUAGGUUGUUCUAUAAGUUAGAUGUGAAACCCCUGGGCUUAACCUGGGACGUGCAUUUAAUACUGUAGAGCUAGAGUAUGGUAGAGGAGUAGGGAAUUCCUGGUGUAGCAGUGAAAUGCGUAGAGAUCAGGAGGAACAUCAGUGGCGAAGGCGCUACUCUGGACUAAUACUGACACUGAGGAGCGAAGGCGUGGGGAGCAAACAGG